rnacentral:rRNA from 1 species
UACGUAGGGUGCAAGCGUUGUCCGGAAUUAUUGGCGUAAAGAGCUCGUAGGCGGUCUGUCGCGUCGGCUGUGAAACUCGGGCUCAACCCGGACUUGCAGUGGGUACGGGCAGACUAGAGUGUGGUAGGGGAGACUGGAAUUCCUGGUGUAGCGGUGAAAUGCGCAGAUAUCAGGAGGAACACCGAUGGCGAAGGCAGGUCUCUGGGCCACUACUGACGCUGAGAAGCGAAAGCAUGGGGAGCGAACAGG